rnacentral:tRNA from 3 species
GCGCCCUUAGUUUAAUGGUAAAACGAACGUCUCCAAAAUGUUUGUUGAGGGUUCGACUCCUUCAGGGCGCG